ACCUACGGGGCGCAGCAGUAGGGAAUCUUCCACAAUGGACGAGAGUCUGAUGGAGCAACGCCGCGUGAGUGAAGAAGGGUUUCGGCUCGUAAAGCUCUGUUGGUAGUGGAGAAAGAUAGAGGUAGUAACUGGCCUUUAUUUGACGGUAAUUACUUAGAAAGUCACGGCUAACUACGUGCCAGCAGGCGCGGUAAUACGUAGGUGGCAAGCGUUGGCCUGAUUUAUUGGGAGUAAAGCGA
rnacentral:rRNA from 1 species